GAUGAACGCUGGCGGCGUGCUUAACACAUGCAAGUCGAACGGAAAGGCCGAAGCUUGCUUCGGUACUCGAGUGGCGAACGGGUGAGUAACACGUGGGUGAUCUGCCCUGUACUUCGGGAUAAGCUUGGGAAACUGGGUCUAAUACCGGAUAUGACGAUCUCUUGGAUGGGGUUGUGGAAAGCUUUUGCGGUAUGGGAUGAGCUCGCGGCCUAUCAGCUUGUUGGUGGGGUAAUGGCCUACCAAGGCGUCGACGGGUAGCCGGCCUGAGAGGGGGUACGGCCACAUUGGGACUGAGAUACGGCCCAGACUCCUACGGGAGGCAGCAGUGGGGAAUAUUGCACAAUGGGCGCAAGCCUGAUGCAGCGACGCCGCGUGGGGGAUGACGGCCUUCGGGUUGUAAACUCCUUUCGCAAUCGACGAAGCCUUUUGGUGACGGUAGGUUGAGAAGAAGCACCGGCUAACUACGUG
rnacentral:rRNA from 1 species